ensembl:lncRNA
UAUAUAAAAAAAACAAUAUAAUCAACACCAAGUGAACUACAGCAUCAUCAAGAAACCUCAGCAUUACUUUUCAUACUGCAGUGUUUUGAAGGGUUUUUUUUUAUUCGGGCUCCACCCAAGUUAUUUACACUGCCCAUGGUCCCCUGGUAUCUUGCAUAGAUAAUAUCAAUUAUGCGCUGCUCAUUAUUGCUGCCAAAUUUUAACACUGAGAUCACCACCUAAAGGGAACCAAUAACAUAACGAUAGAUGGUCUGUUUAGAGGAGGAUCUUAAAUCAAGAAAUUUUAAUAUUAAUUUUUGAUUCUGUUUGUGUCCUCCAUCGUUGUUAAUGUGGACAUAUUUUCUUUAUUUAUAACCCAACAGAGGGCAACUUCUUCAGAUUCCAGUGAUAUAAAACGUGGUUAAACAAUAAUUGUGCAUGACUAGAAGGUCUAGGUAUGUAUACAUAUUUAAAAUGCAUGUAUAAAUUGAUUUUAAUAAAAGCUUUCAAUAAAGUGUAAUUGAUUAUUGAUUUUUUUUUUUUUACAGUGUGUGUGUUUUUUGUUGUUUUUCCUUCUUUUCUUUCUUUUUUUGUUCAUUUUUGGAAAAUGACCUUUCUGGUUACCAUCAUAACAUCACUUGGUGUUGCACCUAUAGAAAACAACCACAAAGAAAUGUUCCAUUCAGCAGGCCAAUCACAACUUACAUUUCCUUUAAUGGAAAAAUGUGCAUAGGUCAUGACAUCUGUUAAUAGGAAGUGUUGUUGUCUUCUAACUCCAGGUUAUCGUCAUUAGACAUGGACGGGGUGCAUGCAUUUCUGGUUGUUCUUUUAGGAGCUUUAUCUUCGAGUCAAGAUCUGAGAAAUGAAUCAGUGAUAGAGAUGAGAGUGAGACCAGGAGAAAACAUCACUCUCUACUGUGAUUGUAAAUCAUCAGUUGGAGUAUACAUAGUGUGGUACAGGAAUUGUUCUCAUGAGAAGCAGCCUUCCCUGGUAUUAAAAACCAGGCUGGAUCGGAGAUAUGGUGCCCCACACUCAGAUUAUGAGUCUACUUUCUUCCAUCUCCUGAAUCCAUUUCCUGAUUUUCAUCUGGUAAAGAACAAUUUCUCUCAAUCUUAUGACCUGCUGAUCACAAACAUCACUGAGACUGAUGAAGGCCUUUACUACUGCGGAACUGAAGAGCUCAAGGUUAAGGAUGAAGAAAAAAUUAUCCAAAGAUAUGUGCGCACAUAUAGUAAUAUCACAACAAAGAUCCUGCUUCAUAAGGAUUCUGGUUCAAGUGAGAACCGCUGUUUUACAGCUUCAAGUGAGCACCAUCAUGAAACUUGUUGGAUGCUACUUUAUUCCUUGUGUCCAGCUUUUGCUGUUAUCUCAUCACUUCUCUCUUCUCUUUUGAUUUAUUACUGUCAGAAGACAGCUAAGACACCUCAGGAUGAUGAGAAAAGAUACAGCAAAAGAGUACAGAAAAGAUGGAAUGAGGAUGAAGAACUGUGUUAUGCUGCACUGGAAUUCCGCCAGUCGUCACAGAGACCAAAGAAGACGAUACCCCAGAGCUCAGAUUUCAGCACUUACUCUGCCAUUAAUACUGACAGCAUGCAAUGAACCCAUCAGUGCAACAGGCUGUAUAAUGAAUUCUAUACUCUUAUACUUAUAUUUUAUACUUUUGGUGUUUGUGCUUAUUAAUUCAUGUUUUGUUCACAACAGUGUUAUCACAACGGUAUUUAUUACAUCCCACAGAAUUGCUUAGAUCUGUGAAAGUAAAAAUAUAUUUACUUUGUUUGCCAAGAGGAUCAUGCUAUAGUCUUUAAGUUAGAUAUGUGAAACAGUUUCGCUUUACUUUUUAUGCAAGC